GUCCCGCCUGGCCCAGUGGACUAACGUUUAACGGCCGCGGUAUUUUUGACCGUGCAAAGGUAGCGUAAUAACUCGUCCUUUAAAUGGGGACUAGUAUGAAUGGCACCACGAGGGCUUAUCUGUCUCCUUUUUUAGGUCAAUGAAAUUGAUCUCCCCGUGCAAAAGCGGGGAUACACACAUAAGACGAGAAGACCCUGUGAAGCUUUAGACACCAAGACAGAUCACGUUAAAAGUACCUCAUUCAAGGGCAUAAACUAAAGAAACCUGCUCUGAUGUCUUUGGUUGGGGCGACCGCGGAGAAAAAGAAACCCUCCCCUCUGCGUGGAACGGGAGCAUUCAAUUAAAAUCCUCCUAAAACCAAGAGCCUACGGCUCAAACCAACAGAACUUUCUGACCAAAAUUGAUCCGGCCUAUGCCGAUCAACGAAUCGAGUUACUCCAGGGAUAACAGCGCAAUCCCCUUUUAGAGCCCAUAUCGACAAGGGGGCUUACGACCUCGAUGUUGGAUCAGGACAUCCUAAUGGUGCAGCCGCUAUUAAGGGUUCGUUUGUUCAACGAUUAACAGUCCUACGUGAUC
rnacentral:rRNA from 1 species